rnacentral:rRNA from 1 species
AUUGAACGCUGGCGGCAGGCCUAACACAUGCAAGUCGAGCGGAUGAAGGGAGCUUGCUCCUGGAUUCAGCGGCGGACGGGUGAGUAAUGCCUAGGAAUCUGCCUGGUAGUGGGGGAUAACGUCCGGAAACGGGCGCUAAUACCGCAUACGUCCUGAGGGAGAAAGUGGGGGAUCUUCGGACCUCACGCUAUCAGAUGAGCCUAGGUCGGAUUAGCUAGUUGGUGGGGUAAAGGCCUACCAAGGCGACGAUCCGUAGCUGGUCUGAGAGGAUGAUCAGUCACACUGGAACUGAGACACGGUCCAGACUCCUACGGGAGGCAGCAGUGGGGAAUAUUGGACAAUGGGCGGAAGCCUGAUCCAGCCAUGCCGCGUGUGUGAAGAAGGUCUUCGGAUUGUAAAGCACUUUAAGUUGGGAGGAAGGGCAGUAAGUUAAUACCUUGCUGUUUUGACGUUACCAACAGAAUAAGCACCGGCUAACUUCGUG